UUGGGGCGCAACUUGCGUUCA
rnacentral:siRNA from 1 species